CUAUUAGUGUCAGCUGACACUGUAUUCCAAAAUAACUGUCAACUGUAAAUCCACCAAACUGUACUAGCUAACAGCCAUCUUUCUAGAAUAAAUGAUAUUGAGUUUUAAAAAAUUGAUGAAAUCACAGAGGCACAUCUAAUUAGAUUUGACAAGGAGCUGAAAGGAUUCCAUUUGUUCUUGACAAGAAGAUACUGCUUGUUUUCUACACAAACAAAAGCCACAAAAUAAUUUCAACAAAAAUAAUGGAUUUAAGAUGAAUGUACUUGGCCUUUAUCAGCAAUAUCCCUGAAAAGAGGUAUCACUGAGAGGGAAAAGUCAAGCUGUUAGCAAGUGUUUCUCGACAGCAGCCUGGUGACUGGAUACUUGUCCUUGAAGAACCUGCAGAAUUGGAUGAUUUUUCACUUUGAUGGCACUAAGUAAGGUCAAACAAUAGUUUCACAGUCUGCAAGGGAUACCUCAGUGAAGCAGGCACAGUGAACUGUUCAUGACUAUUAACCUAUUUUUAAUCUAGAAGUUAAUAGAAAGAAGCCAUCAGUAAAGGAUUGAGACAGAUAGAAUAUUAGGAAUCCAUGCUUGUGCUUAUAAUGGUUUGUCUGGCUCUCUGAUGGCUUCUCAUGUGCUGGUGGACAGAAGCAGCAAGCACAUACAAGAGAACCCUCACUCUAAACUGUGGGAUUAAUCCUGGUCCUAGACAAGGGUUAUACAUCCUGAGCUGAUUUAACAUUGUCACUGGGUCAGCACCCAGACAGUUUUGUUGAUGUGCCUGCUUGACCUUGGUAAUAUUCAAACUGGCUUAGUUUCUUACAAUCGAUCUCCAGUUUGCAAGAGGGAGCGCCGAAACAUACAGGUCAGAAUUCUGUGUGAGGUCUGAACUUAUAGCUAUCACUUGUCAUUUGGAUAAUUGCUAUUGUCUCAUUCUCCUCUAGCUAAAUUGAUAACUCAGAUUUUGUUUCCCCCUGGUUUUGUAUCUUUUCCCCUGAAUCUGAUUCUCCUAGUCACAAAUUUACUUGUGCUUAGAGAUAAGAUUGUUGUUGUUUUUUUCAAAGAGCAGUCAUUACAGGACAAGAUAUCAAUGGGCCAAAAACAUGUUUUGUUUUGUUUUUAUUCAUGUGCCUUUCCCAGCCCCUUCUACCUUCUUAGUAAAUUAGCCUCAGUGGAAAUCUUAUUGCCCUUCUCAGCUAAACUUGUUGAUACUCAGUGCUGAAAAUUUCAUCAACAAAAUUUCAAAAUCCCAGGAAAUUUGAUAGAACAUAGAUAAACUGCCUGAGUCAAAGUCGUGGGGUUUAUUACUGCCAUAGUAUUGUCACAAUAAUUUUUCUUGAGUAGCCUCUCUUGCCUGCAUGCAAAUAUACUAAAGUAUCUCUUUCAUUUUUUUAAGGUAAAUGCGGUUAAAUAACUUGCCUAGGGCAACUAGGAAGUAUCUGAGGGGGGAUUUGAACUCAGUAAGAUGCAUCUUCUAGACUCCAGACCCCGAUCUCUAUCCACUGAAUCACCUAGCUGCCCCUCUCCUUCAAUUUCUAAAGUGUCCUUAAGUAAUCUGUACUCAGCGACUUCAUUUCAUUAAUAUAUGUGUCACACACACACACACACACACACACAUACACACACACACAUAUAUUCUUUAACCUCAUACCUUCUGUCCCUAUCAUUAACAGAUUAUCUACUAUCUUCUAAUUAAGGGCCCUUAUUUAUCCUCACUUUGGUGCUUCUGACAAGUCUAUCUGACUGUAGCUAUCUUUCUCCUCCUCCCUAACACCAAGCUACACAUAUCUAUAAAAAUGAGGCUUCGAAAUAAAAUAGCCUCCAGACUUUGGGAUUCAUGGAUAGGAAUGCUUAUUUUUCUUUAUUUGCUUCUUUUCUUUCCUUGUUUUCUUCUUUUACCUUAGUUUCUUCCAGUUGGCGCUGGAGAUUUUUUGGAUCCAUGGCAAUGGGUUCCAAUAAGUGCUUGUUUGCUGCUGUCUCACAGGACUGGAGCCCAGAGAGAAGUCCAGCAGAGGCAUCUUCAUAGUGCUGAUAUUUAUCUACGAGGUCUUUCAGAUUAUUUCCAAGCAUACUGCACUGAAUAAUUAGAAGGGAAAUUUUAAGAAUACCUUAUAUAUCAUUGCUGACAUCUGUAUAAGUGGCUUUUAGAAGGCAA